CCUACGGGUGGCUGCAGUGGGGAAUAUUGGACAAUGGGUGAAAGCCUGAUCCAGCCAUGCCGCGUGUGUGAAGAAGGCCUUCGGGUUGUAAAGCACUUUCAGUGGGGAAGAAAGCCUUGGGGCUAAUACCCUCGAGGAAGGACAUCACCCACAGAAGAAGCACCGGCUAACUCCGUGCCAGCAGCCGCGGUAAUACGGAGGGUGCGAGCGUUAAUCGGAAUUACUGGGCGUAAAGCGCGCGUAGGCGGUCUGAUAAGCCGGUUGUGAAAGCCCCGGGCUCAACCUGGGAACGGCAUCCGGAACUGUCAGGCUAGAGUGCAGGAGAGGAAGGUAGAAUUCCCGGUGUAGCGGUGAAAUGCGUAGAGAUCGGGAGGAAUACCAGUGGCGAAGGCGGCCUUCUGGACUGACACUGACGCUGAGGUGCGAAAGCGUGGGUAGCAAACAGGAUUAGAUACCCUAGUAGUC
rnacentral:rRNA from 1 species